ensembl:antisense
GACCAGUUGUCAGCAUGUGGACAACACAGCUGAAGGCUGGCAGCUGCUGCAACUGCCUAAGGUGCUAUUGGGGGAUUUAGACAAGCCUCUGAUUCAAGGUUUGGGCUAUGAGGCUCUAGGAAAAGCAAUGAACUUGAGCGACAUCUGAGGUCCUAAGCUCCUCCCCUGCCAUGUUGGCAGCUGGAUGCUGACCAAAGUUCUUCCUUGUGACAGAGGUGGACUCCAUGGAGUCCGUGCCACCGCCUUCGACGCCGGCACACACCAUGGUGGGCAACACUCGCCCUGGGUAGUCCUUGUUGCAAGAUGCUUCAGAGAUAAUGCUGAUGUUGGCACAAUGCAACGUAUCAGGGAGUCUCACUGAGGAGGACAGAUGGCUUUGAGUAUAUUUAAUUCCUUUGGUUCUUGUUCCCUCCAUUCAAGAACCCCUGGGGACAACAUUGCUGGAAUUUCUAUCUCCAGUUCCAUCCUUCCACUCACCGUGUGACUUCUGGCUCCCUGUGGCUCCAGGGUUGUUGUCUGAUAACAGACCCCAGCCUGACACCACGCAGUCCUCACCGAUAAGAGGGCAACGUCUGGGCAGCGCCACAGGACGCACGUAGGCUGUCAGCCGGGCAGGUUUGAAAAGUCGCAACAGCAUAAUGUCAUGGCGGUGGGUGCGAGCCUCGUAGCCCGGAUGUGGAAUGAUGCGAGAGACGGAGCGCAGUUGCUCUGGACCAUCGAACUUGCGGAGAUUGUGCUCACCCAGGCGCACUCUCAUGAAGCUGUGUGAUCGAGUAGGAGGAGACAAAGUGGUCAGAGAAGAUAACCUGGGAUCUUCGGAGAACUUUCUCCUUUUCUCAAGUCCUUGAAGCCAGUGGUUCCAACCGUGACCUCUCCAGAGCCCAGGAGUUUCACGGGGUGUGAUGGUUCAUGCCUUUAACCCCAACACUUGGGAGGCAGAGGCAGGGGGAUUUCUCUAAGUUGUGGACCAGCUUGGUCUACACGGUGAGUUCUAGAGCAAACUGGGUUGCACAGUCAAAACAAACAAAAAACAAACUAACAAACU